rnacentral:tRNA from 1 species
AGGUAAUUAGUAUAAUAAAAACACUUGAUUUCGGCUCAAACAUUUAUGGUUUAAGUCCAUAAUUACCUA